rnacentral:rRNA from 1 species
UAGUCAUAUGCUUGCUUCAAGGACUAAGCCAUGCAAGUGUCGAGUAAAUAGUCUAACUGUUGAUCUGCGUACGGCUCAUUAUAACAGUCGUAAUCUCCCUGCAUUUGUGGCUUUAACAAGCGAUCAAGUGGAUAACUUCCUGGUAAAUCCGAAGCUAAUACAUGGACGACAGUUCGAACAGUGCCAGCUUGCUGCAGGGAAUGGUCUCUGAUCAGACCCUGACUGUUCGAAGCUUAUGGGUUCAAGAGAAACUGGUCAAUAAGAUUGAAUCUCCUCUGGUAUGAGCCCAUUCUGUACAAGGAUUUACUCUGUAGAACCGUGUGCGGUUGAGCGACUGACCUAUCAGCUUGUUUGCAAUGUAUUGGAUUGCAAAGGCUUUGACGGGUAACGGAGAAUUAGGGUUCGAUUCCGGAGAGGGAGCCUGAGAGACGGCUGCCGUGUCCAAGGACAACAGCAGGCGCGCAAAUUGCCCAAUACUAGCAUGAGCGAGGCAGCGACGAGAAGUACUUACCUUUUGCUCGUCUAGGGUCUUAAGGAAAGCAUGAGUGGUAUCCAAAAACACCACUGAACUCGAUUGGAGGGCAAGUCUAGUGCCAGCAGCCGCGGUAAUUCCAGCUUCAAUAGCGUAUACUAAUGCUGUUGCUGUUAAAAAGCUCGUAGUUUGACAAGGAUUGAUUCUGCACUGUGGUUGUGCCUGUUGUCGCCUAGACAGCGAGGUUUCAGUCGUUGGGCAUAUGGAUUGAUUCUCUAUAACGGUCUUGUUUGAUGAAGUGUUCUUCACUGAACAUGGAAUCGUCUCCGCAGUCAACAUCUGUACAAGAACUUGACCGUUGUGAUACCGUGAACAAAACAGCGUGCUCAAGGCAAAGCGCAAUGCUCGAAUGUUCAAGCAUGGAAUAUCAAGGAAGCGACUGUUCUGAUGCUAUUUGCUGGUUUCUGUAUCUGCAACAGAGAACUGGAUCUGAGACAAAGUGGGUCGAUCAGCUGUGGCCUCCGGGUUCGCACUGGUCGUCUCGAGUCUUUGGUUCACCGGUAUUAACAGGGGUGAACGGAGCGGUACGUAUUGGCACGCGAGAGGUGAAAUUCUUAGACCGUGCCAAGACGAACUUAAGCGAAGGCAUUCCGCAAGUAUACCUUCAUUGAUCAAGAACGAGAGUGUAGGGAUCGAAGAUGAUCAGAUACCGUCGUAGUCUGCACUGUAAACGAUGCGAACUCGGGGUCAGCUGCGGAAUCUGUUAUCAGAUGACAAGGUUGACACCAUUCUAUUCUCUCCUAGCGCGAAAGCUCUAAGUUUCUGCGUUCAGGGGGGAGUACAGUUGCAAGGCUGAAACUUAAAGGAAUUGACGGAAUGACACCACAAGGCGUGGAUGCUGCGGCUUAAUUUGACUCAACACGGGAAAUCUUACCAGAUCAGGACGCCCGGUGGAUUGACAGAUUGAAAGCUCUUUCUUGAUCAUGUGAAUGGUGGUGCAUGGCCGCUCCUGGUUGGUGGAGUGAUUUGUCUGGUUGAUUCCGUUAACGAACGAGAUCUUGACCCUUCAAUGACAGUUGGAUCGACGUAAUCUCAUGUUCGAAGCCAGGCUUUGUCAUUGGAUGAGAUCCACACAUGUACUCAAGGGGACGAUGCAUGAAUACCAAUGCGUGGAAGUCCGAGCCAAUAGCAGGUCUGUGAUGCUCCUAGAUGUUCUGGGCUGCAUGCGGCAUACAAUGACGAUGUAAACGAGUUUGGCUUAUAUCUACGAGCCCCUUCUCGGAAACGAGUGGGGAAUCUGUGUAAGCUUCGUCGUAUUGGGGAUAGUUGCUUGCAAUUAUCUGCCUUGAACCAGGAAUGCCUCGUAAGGUCAACUCAGCAAAUUGACCUGAAUACGUCCCUGCCGUUUGUACACACCGCCCGUCGUUGCAAUCGAUCGGCUCCGUGCUAGAGAUCUUCUGGAGAUUGUCUUACUUGUUCAGAUCUCGGUCUGAUCAUUCUGACUGUCGAAGUCGUUCGAUAGUACUGAGCUAGAGAAUGCAAAAGUCGUAACAAGGUUGCUG